UUGGCCGCCAUGUUAGGAGUGCCGGAGCGAGUGCGGGAACCCAGCGAGGUUUUAGGGGGCGCGGGAGCCGAGUGGUGGUGUGGUGGGGACGGUGAGGUGAAGUACAAGCCGGUGGGAGACUCUUGGCAGUGAAACUGGAAAUCAGGGGUUGGGGGCGGCUUAAGAGGCCCACUGGGCCUCACCCUCAAGGUCCUGUACGCAGCGCUUAAGCCCUCUGUGGCUCUUUCUCCGGGAUCUGAGGGGUCGCGGGUCUGCUGGGCCGCGAGCGUGGUUUAGAUCCGUCCACGGGACCCGCGGCGCGGCUGGUGUCUUUGUUGGGGCGCGGGAACCGCGCACAGCGGCCCGCAGGCCUUUAGCCGGAGGAUGUCUGCUUCCUUCCACCCGCGAGCCGGGCUAUCCCUCCCAUUUCUUUUAUUUAUUUAUUUGUUUUCGUCUAUUUUCCUUCCUUUCUGACCUCACCGCAGGGAGUUUCGCAUGGGGAUGAUGUGCAGCGGGGUGUAGAGAAAGCGGUGUUGGGAGUUGGCCAGACUGGGAAGCGACCGUGCUCGGACCCUGUAACUGAGAGGCCUUGAAGGAGCGACCCGGCUGCAGAAGGCCCCCUUGACACCUGCCAGUCAGGGCGGGGAGAUGUUAUUGACGGGCGGCUGGGGAUGGGACCCCAAGUAACUCAGCACUGAUUCCUGGGUAGAGCCAGUGUGCGCUCAAAGCUCACACACUGCAGAGACGGGGUGUGCAUUAACUUACACAGUGCAUUUAGUGUGUAAGCUGUGGUUCUCUAUAUAUAAGAACUAGGUCGCAAAAAAAAAAAAAAAAAAAAAACCUGAAACCAAAGUCAUCAAACGUAAAUGUGUUUUUGUUUCCAGUUAUGUUACUAAAACAAAGAAUGUUGUGUGUUCUUUUUUCAGCUUCUACACUGUGGGGAGACGGGAGACUUCUUCCUGAGUGUGUCUGAAGGUUAAAAAUGACAACUUGCGCUUUUUUUCCUCCCUCUCUUUUUACACAUUAUUCUGAAAAGUAAUGAUUGAUUUGUUAUUUGGGGUGAGUAAGGGUAUGUAUGUCACCUCUGUAAGGAAUUAAUAAUAUUGCGGCUGAUAAAAAGAUUUAUUAUAUCAAAAAAAAGGCAGCAGAAUGAUUAAAAGACAUAAAAGCUUGGGUGAACUCUCAGGUGUGUACAAAUGAGAGUUGCUCUUACUGAUCUUGUUUCUGGGAGCAAAUAAAAAAUUUACAGCUUUGGUUUGAUUUUUUUCUUUUUUUUUUUCUUUUAGGACAGCAGCAACAAAUGCUGGAGAGGCUGUGGGGACAGAGUUGUUUUUUUUUUUUUUUUAACAAAGGUCAAUGUGCUGGUCUCGCUUAAAUGUGAAUAUAACAGUAGGAAAUAGGAAAGGCUCCUAGAACUAUUACUCUUAUUUUCUUUGUGAACGUUGCUCUUCAUCUCAUUCUUGGAACAUGUUUGUCAUUUGUUACAGUUCUGGACUGCUUGUAUGGAAGACUCGAAAUUAAGUGGAAUACAGAGAAACACCCAGAUUUGAAGAACAAAUAAAAGGGAGGGAGAAGAAUAGGGACUAGAUAGUUCCUUUUAAGAAGUUUGACUCAGAUUGGAGAGAAAGCUUAUUGAAGUGCAUACAGUAGUUCAUAGAUAACUGAAAAGUGACCCCUUUGAUAACAUUGGUAGGGAUAUGCUGUUAAAGUAUUUAGUGAAGGCUGGGAGAUAGCCCACCUGAUAGAGCAAACACUUUACUUAGCAUGCACAAGAACCCACAUCCAAGGUGACACUAUAGAAGCUCCAUGUGUGCAUGAGCUGGGGUAACAGCAUAAUGGUUACGCAGAAAGACGUGCAUGCCUGAGGCUAUGAGGUCCCACAUUGAGUCCCUAGUACCACCAUAAGCCUGAACUGAGCAGUGCUCUAAUAAGUAAAUAGUGCUGGGGCUCAUUGCUGGCACACCCGAUUGAACACACAUUACCAUGCAGAAGGACCCAGGUUUAAGCCCCUGUCCCAAACUUCAGGAAGAAAGCUUUGCAAGUGGUGAAGCUAUGCUGUUGGGUGUCUGUCUUUCCCUUCCCUCUCAACUACUCUGUCCUGUCAAAUUAAAUAAAUAUAUAAAGAAGCACCACGCAGAAGGAUAAGCUUCACAGGUAGUGACACAGUCUCUCACCCUAUUCCUGUGACUAGAAAAAAAAAAAAGGGCCACAAGGAAUGGUGGAAUCAUGCAGAUGUAAAGGCCUGGUGACAAAAUUGUGCACAAGCUGAAGAAUUACACAAAAUAGAACUAAGGUGUCUGUCACAGUGUGCUUUGUUUAAUGUGUGCAUUUUGUGUGUCAGACCUUUCAUGCCUGUUUUAGUCCUUUGCUCACUGCUGGCACGACAUACCACAGCACCUCGAGUAUAGAACCAUAAUCCUAUGUGUGGUAAAGUGUACACCUGGUUGCCAAGUAAGAAUUUUAUAAUUGUAUGAAAGUGGACACAUUCCUCUCUGACUUAGUGUCAAGUCCCCUGGAUCCCCAUAAAAAAUUUAAAUUUGAGAAAAAUCUUUUAUAAUAUACUGUGAUGGAUAAUUUCAUUUAAGAUUCUACUCCCACAUGACCAUGGGAAGUUGAUUCAGUCCAAGAGUCAACCACCUUAGAGCAACACUACCAUGCUUGAGUUGGAAUGGUGUUUAUAAUUUCAGAAGGAUUGAUAUCUGAAAAAUACUCUUAUUUUCCCAGUGAUGAGGCUAACACUUUUCAGGUAGUUCCCUGGUGUUUAGGCUAUGUGAGUUUGUCUUGAUCACUAGCUGACAUUUUCACUAAGCCAAGAAAGUGCUUGGCACAUGCAGCUUAAAUUAUAUUUACCUCCAAUCUGUGCACUUGGAUUUACGUGGACACUGCUCAGACAUUCUAGCGUCAACUUACCAACCUCCAGUUGUGGAGAUUAAAAAUGCUUCUGUGAAUGAGGAAACAGCAUAAUAGUUAUACAAACAACUCUCAUGCCUGAGACUGAAAUCCAAGGCACCACUAUACCAGAACUAAACAGUGCUCUGGUUUAAAAAAAGGAAGAGUGCAUCCUCUGGAUGGUUACAAGUCUCAACGGAAAACUCUAAGCAUUUAUUCGACUACCAUUUUCAACCUGGAGUAUAAAUCUUGUCCAUUUUAAGAUUAAGUUAUUAAGUCUGCUCAAGGUCAUUAACAAGCAGAGGAAUUGAGAAAGUACGGCCUGGUUUGUUCCAUAUUUAAAGUCUACACAUAAACGUCUUUUAGGCGGAAGAGGCAAAAAAAAAAAAGGUGUUCAAGACCCAAAUGCCUCCCACAACUAACACUGCAGAUGUGGUCUUUUUUCCCACAUGUCCCAAUGGGAUACAACAAAUCAGUCUGGAAACAAUUCCAACACUAAAGCACAUCUUUAAAACUUACUGAGAAUACAUAAUUUAAGAAAAUUAAAUAUAGAUGAGCUAUCAUUUCUACUGCAGCCAUUUUCUCUGCUUGACCUCAAUGUACUUGACAGUUUUUCACCAGCAUGAUCUUUGGGGUUUGGUGCCAGCACUACAAAUCCAUCGCUCUUGGCAGCCAUUUUUCCCUUUUUAUUUUCUUCUUUCUGUUUUAUUUGAGAGGACAGAGAGAUGUUGGGAGGAAAGUGGGAGAUAGGGAAAGAGAAUGACCACUCCUGAAGUGUCUGUAGGUGGGGAGCAGGGGCUCAAAUCGGGUCUUGUGUGAUGUGUGUACAUUCUGGCAUACAUCUGGCUCAGUCAGUCUUGUAGUCUAACCUCCAAGAAAAAGGUCAGUUUCCAGUUAAGAGCUAAAAUAAUUUUUUGAGUGUUUUCACAUAACUUGUUUUUUUGUUUGGUUUUUAGAUUUUGCUUUAUUUCAAAUAGAGACAGAAAUUGAGAGGGGAGAGAGAGAGACCACUGCACACUUUGACCACUCAGAAAGCUUCUCACUGGAGGGAGAACCAGCCUGGGGCAGCACACUAGCCUACCAGAAAGCUUCUCUCCUGCAGGCUGGGGCUAGGGGUAUAAUCUCGGGCCCUUGCACUGUAAUGUGUGGCACAACCAGAUGUGCCAUAGCCCACCUCUCAUAACUUGUUUAUAAAGGACAGUAAAGAAAAAGAAAGGAGUCGGGCUGUAGCACAGCGGGUUAAGCGCAGGUGGCGCAAAGCACAAGGACCGGCAUAAGGAUCCCGGUUCGAGCCCCGGCUCCCCACCUGUAGGGGAGUCACUUCACAGGUGGUGAAGCAGGUCUGCAGGUGUCUGUCUUUCUCUCCUCCUCUCUGUCUUCCCCUCCUCUCUCCAUUUCUCUCUGUCCUAUCCAACAAUGAUGACAACAACAAUAAUAAUAACUAUAACAAUAAAACAACAAGGGCAACAAAAGGGAAUAAAUAAAAAAAAAGAAAG